rnacentral:rRNA from 1 species
UGGGGAAUAUUGGACAAUGGGGGAAACCCUGAUCCAGCGAUGCCGCGUGUGUGAAGAAGGCCUGCGGGUUGUAAAGCACUUUCAGUUGGGAAGAUAGUUUGUAGGGGAAUAUCCUGCAGAUGAGACGUUACUAACAAAAGAAGCACCGGCUAACUCUGUGCCAGCAGCCGCGGUAAUACAGAGGGUGCGAGCGUUAAUCGGAGUGACUGGGCGUAAAGCGUGCGUAGUCGGUAUUGAGAGUCGCGGGUGAAAUCCCAGGGCUUAACCCUGGAACUGCCUGCGAGACCUCAGUACUAGAGUGUGAGAGGGGAUAGUGGAAUACCCAGUGUAGCGGUGAAAUGCGUAGAGAUUGGGUGGAACACCGGUGGCGAAGGCGGCUAUCUGGCUCACAACUGACGAUCAGGCACGAAAGCGUGGGGAGCAAACAGGAUUAGAUACCCAUGUAGUCCCUGAGCGGGCUGGCAAGGCGCAU